UUCACGGACAAAUCAUCACUUGUGCCACGAAUUAUGCCACGGGAAAUCAAAAUUCGUGGCAUAAUUGCAUAUAGCGACGGGAAAAAUAAAUAGUAAGACAAAAUCUAAAGAAGAAGAAAAAUUUAUGCCAUGGGUAAAUAAUUUUCCGUUGCAAAUAUCAAAGUUAUGCCACGGGUAGAUAUUUUCUUGUGGCAAACUUUAAACUUCAGCUAAUUAUAUUCAUUGAGCUAAUUAUAUUUUGGAAAUCUUAUUUUAUUUGAGAUGUGGAAUUUGAAUUAUAUUAUCGUGUUUGUAAUAUUUUUUUUUUUUUCAAUAGUUGUAAUAUAUUUAUUUAUUUAAUUAGAUGAGAUUAUUUCUAUUAUUAUUAUUUUAUAUUUUGGGUUUGUGCAGUUAGUUGAGCGGUAUUUAGCCCAAAUAGGAAGCGAAAGUAGUUCCCUCAAUUUGGUUUGGCGGUUGAAGGACGUUUGCCUUUGUUGCUUUUGUCGGUUGAGUUAAACCAAACCCAAACCCAAAGAAAUCCAAUCUCAUUUUCAUUUCCCCUUCCCCGUGAAAACCCAUUUCAUUCAAAACCCCAAACCCAAUUCUCUCUCUUUCUCUCGCGGUCCUGCCCGAUACCCCACCGACGAACGACCGCCGGACUUGCGCUGCUGCUGUUCGUCGGUGUUCGCCUAUUGUCGGUCUUCCCUCGGCCGGAGUUUCCCCCUUGUCGGCGCCGUCUGUUCUCGUUUUCUCUCUCUACUCUGUUUCGUCGCUGGUGGUGGUGUUCAUGUUCGCCGCUGCGUGUGUCGCACCACUAGUACGCCGCCUCACCGGACCCGCGCUGUUAAUUUGUCACCUCGCCCUUGCCGUACGUGUCUUCCCUGCUCUUGAAGCAGAGAUUGGAGAAAGAGGGUACAUAUUAUCAAGCACAAGACGCAUUCUUAGUUACAAUUAAAGUACUAUGUAGUUUAUAAUUUUUCUAUGUAAAAAGAUCGGAGAAUAUUGCGUUUUUAUUUAGUUGCCAAUGGAACUUUUUUAUUUCAAGUACAUUUAAUGUAAAGAUAUUAAAAAUUUUAAAUUAAUAAUAAUAUUUCGUUCUUCCAUAUUAAAAA